rnacentral:rRNA from 1 species
UACGUAGGGGGGCAAGCGUUGUCCGGAUUUAUUGGGCGUAAAGAGCGUGUAGGCGGCUGGGUAGGUCCGUUGUGAAAACUCGAGCUCAACCUCGAGACGCCGAUGGAAACCCUCCAGCUAGAGUCCGGAAGAGGAGAGUGGAAUUCCUGGUGUAGCGGUGAAAUGCGCAGAUAUCAGGAAGAACACCCGUGGCUAAGGCGGCUCUCUAGUACGGUACUGACGCUGAGACGCGAAAGCGUGGGGAGCGAACAGG